rnacentral:rRNA from 1 species
AUUGAACGCUGGCGGCAGGCCUAACACAUGCAAGUCGAGCGAGCGGCGGACGGGUGAGUAAUGUGUGGGAAACUGCCUUAUGGAGGGGGGUAACUUAUGGAAACGGUAGAUAAUACCGCCUACCCUCAGAAGUGCCCAGAAUGGAUUAUCUCGUAGGUGGGGUAACGGCUCACCUAGGCGACGAUCCCUAGCUGGUCGGAGAGGAUGACCAGCCACACUGGAACUGAGACACGGUCCAGACUCCUACGGGAGGCAGCAGGGGGGAAUAUUGCACAAUGGGCGCAAGCCUGAUGCAGCCAUGCCGCGUGUGUGAAGAAGGCCUUCGGGUUGUAAAGCACUUUCAGCGGGGAGGCGUUACCCGCAGAAGAAGCACCGGCUAACUCCGUGCCAGCAGCCGCGGUAAUUC